AUUGAACGCUGGCGGCAGGCCUAACACAUGCAAGUCGAGCGGAUGAAGGGAGCUUGCUCCUGGAUUCAGCGGCGGACGGGUGAGUAAUGCCUAGGAAUCUGCCUGGUAGUGGGGGAUAACGUCCGGAAACGGGCGCUAAUACCGCAUACGUCCUGAGGGAGAAAGUGGGGGAUCUUCGGACCUCACGCUAUCAGAGGAGCCUAGGUCGGAUUAGCUAGUUGGUGGGGUAAAGGCCUACCAAGGCGACGAUCCGUAACUGGUCUGAGAGGAUGAUCAGUCACACUGGAACUGAGACACGGUCAAGACUCCUACGGGAGGCAGCAGUGGGGAAUAUUGGACAAUGGGCGAAAGCCUGAUCCAGCCAUGCCGCGUGUGUGAAGAAGGUCUUCGGAUUGUAAAGCACUUUAAGUUGGGAGGAAGGGCAGUAAGUUAAUACCUUGCUGUUUUGACGUUACCAACAGAAUAAGCACCGGCUAACUUCGUG
rnacentral:rRNA from 1 species